rnacentral:rRNA from 1 species
UACGUAGGUGGCGAGCGUUGUCCGGAUUUACUGGGCGUAAAGAGCGCGCAGGCGGUCGUACAAGUCGCGUGUGAAAGCCCCCGGCUCAACUGGGGAGGGUCACGCGAUACUGUUCGACUCGAAGGCAGGAGAGGGUAGUGGAAUUCCCGGUGUAGUGGUGAAAUGCGUAGAUAUCGGGAGGAACACCAGUGGUGAAGGCGGCUACCUGGCCCACUCUUGACGCUGAGGCGCGAAAGCUAGGGGAGCAAACGGG